UAUUGCGCAAUGGGCGAAAGCCUGACGCAGCGACGCCGCGUGGGUGAUGAAGGCCUUCGGGUCGUAAAGCCCUGUCAGGAGGGACGAAACCUCGGUAGGCUAAUAUCCUAUCGACUUGACGGUACCUCCAAAGGAAGCACCGGCUAACUCCGUGCCAGCAGCCGCGGUAAUACGGAGGGUGCGAGCGUUGUUCGGAAUUACUGGGCGUAAAGCGCGUGUAGGCGGCCUUGUAAGUCUGGUGUGAAAGCCCGGGGCUCACCCCCGGAAGUGCAUUGGAUACUGCAAGGCUCGAGUACCGGAGAGGAGGGUGGAAUUCCUGGUGUAGCGGUGAAAUGCGUAGAUAUCAGGAGGAACACCGGUGGCGAAGGCGGCCCUCUGGACGGAUACUGACGCUGAGACGCGAAAGCGGGGGGAGCAAACAGG
rnacentral:rRNA from 1 species